CAUGUUUCCCAACAAAAUGGCGACACGUGUCGCCAUCGAAAAAUUGGGCCGGGUCUGAAAGCUCUAGAAUGUGCCUUUCAUCAGUCUCAGAAUUUCCCAUAGGAUGAAACAGCAAGAGAGCAAGACAAUCCCAGAGAGAUGAAUGAAGUGAAUGACCCAAGGUUACACAGGAUGGAACCUAUAUCUUCUGAUUUCUCUACUGGCCUGCACUCCACGUUCUGAGGAGGAGUCCUUGAAGCUACUGAGAUAAUGGAACAAUGGAGUAGAUAGUCCAUUAUAACUCAUCUGGGAUUCUUCUCAACUUCAAGUGACCACAGCUGGGGACUCUUCUGAUGGGAACCACCUGUUCCUGGUCUUUGCGCGCUUUGGAUUUCCCCAGUCCUUCAGUCCUUUCAGUUUUGAAAUGAAACCUGCUCUCCUGGCUAAGGUCAGGUCCAAGAGGACUUUGACAGUUCACACCGACUUGUUUUUUCUUAGAGCCAGCUGGUGGAAACAUGGUCUGGUAACACCACGCUUCCGGAUGUGAUUGUGGAGCUGGAUUGCUUAACCUGGGCUAAGUCAUUUAUCUUCCUGUGUCCCUCAGUUCUUCAUGGGCUGCAGAAGUGUUAAGAGUGCCUGCUUGUCUUCGAGAGGACCAGAGAUCAAUUCCCAGCAUCCAUCCCUGGAAGCUACAGGGAAUUCAACACUCUUCCUGACUUCCUCAAACACCUGCACACAUAUGGCUUAUAGACACACAGGGAAAGAAGUAAAGGAAAUCUUAAAAACA
rnacentral:lncRNA from 1 species